UGGCUGUGUUCAGACCCCAGCAACAAACUCUGAAGAGUGCCGGACUUGGAAAGUAUUUAAUGGUCAUUGGAAAAAAAUGAGGAAGAGGAGGGUGUGGCUGCUGCUGGGAGGCUCUGGCCCUGCAAAGGGUCCCUGGCUCGUAGAGAUGUGGUCCUGCAUCAGCACAAAACGAAGACUUCUUUUCGCAGCUCUGUCUGGGAGGCCCCGGUUGUGAGCGGAGGGAGCGGAGGGUUUGAGCGCGGUGCCCCGGGCAGAGCUGGGUGCCCGCUCGCAGUCCCGGCGCUUCAGCCGGGCUGCCGGAGCGCCGCCCGGGACGGACGGACGGACGGACAGAGCGGGCUCCCCGUGCGGGGCUGCCAAGGCACCGCCGCUAACUCACCUGCGCCCGGCGAGCUGUCCCGAGGCAAGAGUAGAGUAAAAAAACACCGGGGAAAAAAAAGCUGCAAGAUAAACAUUAUGUCGGCAGCACCCUUAAAAACCUGCUCGUGCAACCACCCCUUUUAAUGACUCCUUUCUUGGAGGAAAAAAAAAAAAUUAAAAAAUAAAUCACUCGUGCUAGUGCCA
rnacentral:lncRNA from 1 species